UCUCAAUUUUACUCAAGUACCCGUGCCCUGGUGUUCUUUCGCGCUUCACACUGCCAUACCCGCCUCGCACUUGUUCCCGUCUCCUUAACCGCUCCUACCUUCGAAGAUGCCAUCGUCAUUUCCAGAAUGAAUUUCACCACACCAUGGCACCAGGAUGGUCCCGCCUCUCCUUCCGAUUUCGCAGUGAUACCCCCCCAUAGAUGCGCUCGAUCACUACAACUGCCCAUCCCAGGGCCUCCCUGAAUCACCUAGCCAUCGCUUCCGUGCGCGCUACCCGCCCCUUCUGUGACUCCAUCGGCAAUCUGCUAUCCGAGAAGCAGGCAAUCUGCAAUCUGCCAUUGUUGCUGCCGUUUUACAUUUGUUAAUCUCGGAGGCAUCUAAUUUCUGCUGCUAUGACAGUUUUUCUUUGGUCUUCUGAUCGUAUAUUUUCUAUUGUUUGACCUUCUAUUCUUUCCAGCAUUAUAUAUUAUAGAUCUUGCAUUUUGGGAAUGAUUGCUCUAUCCACCACAUGUUCGACAUAAUGCUCAUUUGAAUGUUGUGCUUUCCUUGAAAAGGUCGGAUGAUGGAUAUCCUCUUAUAAAGAAAAAGAAGUUCCCUGAGUUGGAUAGCAAAUCGGCUUUGGAUUUUUUUUUCAGUCAUUUGAUGUUUUAAAAAUUUAUACUAAAGUUGAUUAUAAAUGCUCAAUUAUCAGAUUUUAUAAGAUACUGCACCUUAAAAUGAAUGGUAGAAAAACAAAGCGUAUGCUUUAUCUGAUGAUCAUUGACUUCUGCUUGUUCAAUUUUCUCUUGAUAUUUCGCGAAUACCCAAACAUUAUCUUUACACAAGCUGUUUGGUUUAUUUAUCUCUUCAAGUUCAAGAGAACCCACAUCCCCCACUUUUUGGAUUCUGACUUUGAUAUUUAGUGCGUAUGAGCAUAUCAUCUUUGUUGAUGCUUGCUCUGUAAUAUAUGUGAUUUUUGGUAUUAUAAUUAUUGGCAAGUUUACUUAUGUGAAUUGCACAACUUAAGUUAUUGAGGUUUUGCUAAUGUUGUAAAAUAAUUUUAGUGCUCGCCGUAAGCAAUUGCACAGUCUAUAUAUCCGGAGUUCACUUGACCUUUUGAGCUUCUAAAUGACUGUGUUUGUGUAAUUCUUAAGAACUUGUUCUUUAAGUUGUUAGUUGAGUUGUAACCAUCAUUUGAAGGAGCCUUUCUCCAAUGAAAAAUUGUUGUUCUAAAUUCUACUGGAAAAGAGUUUUGCUUAUAUGAAAAAUGUUGUUGCAUCAAUAUAUGGAAAAUGUUGUUGCCCUGAUGCCAGGGUUUUGCUUAUGUGAGAAAAAGUGUGAUCUAAGGGUUUUAUCCUCUUACUCAGGGUAUCUGUUCUCUUUUUGGAGGACCCCUGGAUACCAGGUUGCACCUCACUGCUUUCCCGUGUCCCUGGUGAUGCAAUUGGUGAUCUUUGAGAUAGGCCGGUUGCAGACUUUGUUGAUUCUCAGGGAACUAGCAUUGGUAUAUGUUUGGCCACUUGAUCCAUCAGGGAUUUACUCGGUCUCUUCUGCCUAUGACCUUCUGGUUGAGGAGUCUUGAGCUGAUGAUCUCUUGCUUUGGAAACUUAUAUGAAGGUGGCGAGGGCCUCAAAGAAUCCGCAACUUCCUUUGGAUUGUGUCACACAAUUGACUUCUCACAGAUAGUCUUUGAGCUUUGUGGAAUUUCUCUUCAAACAGCUUGUGUAGACGUGGCCUUCUUGAGGAAAAUUCCGUCCUUCAUGUGCUGCGGGAUUGCUGCAGUACUCGCUUAAUGUGGGAGUCCAUCUUUCCCCGUUUUUCUGCGUCUCCUUCUUCUCCCUUCCCCUUUGGCUCCCGGUUAGUUUCCUCUCGUUGGGCUGGUGUGUUGGCUGUUGGUUGUGGUGGUCAUGGCGCAACAUAGAGCUGUUCGAUCCAAACUUUUCUAGACCGGACAGAGCAGCUGCUGUGAUCAUAAGAACCGCGGCCUCCUUGAGCCGGUCCCUUAUCAGCUCUAAUAAUUUGACUGGGCUUGUUAAAGGGUACUAACUGUUUGAUUGGGCGCCACCUUCGCGAGGUUGUGUGAAGCUUAAUAUGGAUGGAGCUGGCAGGGGCAACCCGGGGUUGGCCGGAGCUGGGGGUAUGAUCUGGAAUGACGAAGGUAGAUGGCUUGUUGGGUUCUCCUGGGAUAUCGGCUGGACCUUUGCUGUUGCUGCCGAGUUAUUGGCCAUUUCUACCGGUUUGCAGCUACCCUGGGAUCUUGGAUUUCACCAAGGUGUUGAAGAGCUUCUAAGAGGGGAUUGGGCUACUGGAAUUUGACAUACUUAUCAGGAGGGCAAACUUGAUCGCCAAUUGGCUCGCCAAAAGGCCGACCCUUCUUUCUUUCGGGGUGCAUAUAUCCAUGACCCGCCUGAUGGAUUUAGUUCGCUUCUUUUAGAUGAUGUUAUUGGGGCCUCCAUGUCCUGCCUUUGUCCCUUGUAAUUUGUAAUUUUCAUGUUUUCUUGUAACUCUAGGCUUUGGCGUCCUUUUCUCGCCGAAGGAAAAAAAAAGGACAAGAAUUCUAAUUUUUUCAUGCAUUUCUUUUAUUUUCUAAAUUGUUCCUCACUA